UGCCUUCCUGUUCCAGGGUAGGUGUCUUCCUGUUCCAGGGUAGGUGUCUUCCUGUUCAAGCGUAGAUCUUCCUGUUUCAGGGUAGAUGUCUUCCUGUUCCAGGGUAGAUGUCUUCCUGUUUCAGGUUAGGUGUCUUCCUGUUUCAGGGUAGGUGUCUUCCUGUUCCAGGGUAGAUGUCUUCCUGUUUCAGGGUAGGUGUCUUCCUGUUCCAUGGUAGGUGUCUUCCUGUUCCAGGGUAGGUGUCUUCCUGUUUCAGGGUAGGUGUCUUCCUGUUCCAGGGUAGGUGUCUUCCUGUUUCAGGGUAGGUGUCUUCCUGUUUCAGGGUAGGUGUUAAUGUCUAUUCUCCAGGUAAUGGUGCUGUGUAUUGAUAGGUAUAAUGUUAAUGUCUAUUCUCCAGGUAAUGUCUCUGUGUAUUGAUAGGUAUAUUGGUAAUGUCUAUUCUCCAGGUAAUGUCUCUGUGUAUUGAUAGGUAUAAUGUCUAUUCUCCAGGUAAUGUCUCUGUGUAUUGAUAGGUAUAAUGUCUAUUCUCCAGGUAAUGUCUCUGUGUAUUGAUAGGUAUAAUGUCUAUUCUCCAGGUAAUGUCUCUGUGUAUUGAUAGGUAUAAUGUCUAUUCUCCAGGUAAUGUCUCUGUGUAUUGAUAGGUAUAAUGUCUAUUCUCCAGGUAAUGUCUCUGUGUAUUGAUAGGUAUAAUGUCUAUUCUCCAGGUAAUGUCUCUGUGUAUUGAUAGGUAUAAUGUCUAUUCUCCAGGUAAUGUCUCUGUGUAUUGAUAGGUAUAAUGUCUAUUCUCCAGGUAAUGUCUCUGUGUAUUGAUAGGUAUAAUGUCUAUUCUCCAGGUAAUGUCU